rnacentral:rRNA from 1 species
GACGGAGGAUGCAAGUGUUAUCCGGAAUCACUGGGCGUAAAGCGUCUGUAGGUUGUUUAAAAAGUCUACGGUUAAAGGUUGAAGCUUAACUUCAAAACUGCCUUAGAAACUUUUAAACUUGAGGAUGGUAGGGGUAGAGGGAAUUUCCAGUGGAGCGGUGAAAUGUGUAGAUAUUGGAAAGACCACCAAUGGCGAAGGCACUCUACUGGGCCAUUACUGACACUGAGAGACGAAAGCUAGGGGAGCAAAUGGG